rnacentral:rRNA from 1 species
AUCUGCAGUCGAGCGACUGAUUAGAAGCUUGCUUCUAUGACGUUAGCGGGGACGGGUGAGUAACACGUGGGCAACCUGCCUGUAAGACUGGGAUAACUUCGGGAAACCGAAGCUAAUACCGGAUAGGAUCUUCUCCUUCAUGGGAGAUGAUUGAAAGAUGGUUUCGGCUAUCACUUACAGAUGGGCCCGCGGUGCAUUAGCUAGUUGGUGAGGUAACGGCUCACCAAGGCAACGAUGCAUAGCCGACCUGAGAGGGUGAUCGGCCACACUGGGACUGAGACACGGCCCAGACUCCUACGGGAGGCAGCAGUAGGGAAUCUUCCGCAAUGGACGAAAGUCUGACGGAGCAACGCCGCGUGAGUGAUGAAGGCUUUCGGGUCGUAAAACUCUGUUGUUAGGGAAGAACAAGUACGAGAGUAACUGCUCGUACCUUGACGGUACCUAACCAGAAAGCCACGGCUAACUACGUGCCAGCAGCCGCGGUAAUACGUAGGUGGCAAGCGUUAUCCGGAAUUAUUGGGCGUAAAGCGCGCGCAGGCGGUUUCUUAAGUCUGAUGUGAAAGCCCACGGCUCAACCGUGGAGGGUCAUUGGAAACUGGGGAACUUGAGUGCAGAAGAGAAAAGCGGAAUUCCACGUGUAGCGGUGAAAUGCGUAGAGAUGUGGAGGAACACCAGUGGCGAAGGCGGCUUUUUGGUCUGUAACUGACGCUGAGGCGCGAAAGCGUGGGGAGCAAACAGGAUUAAAUUCCCUGGUAGUCCACCGCCGUAAACGAUGAGUCCUAA